rnacentral:rRNA from 1 species
AGGGCGAACGCUGGCGGCGUGCCUAACACAUGCAAGUCGAACGGGACCAGGGGCAACUCUGGUUCAGUGGCGGACGGGUGCGUAACACGUGAGGAACAUGACCUUCGGCGGGGGAUAGCCGGCCCAACGGCCGGGUAAUACCGCGUACGACCAUCCGGGGACAUCCCUGGGUGGUGAAAGCAGCAAUGCGCCGAUGGAGUGCCUCGCGGCCUAUCAGCUAGUUGGUGAGGUAACGGCUCACCAAGGCGACGACGGGU